rnacentral:rRNA from 1 species
UACGUAGGGAGCAAGCGUUGUCCGGAAUCAUUGGGCGUAAAGAGCUCGUAGGCGGCUUGUCGCGUCGAAUGUGAAAACCCACGGCUCAACUGUGGGCUUGCAUUCGAUACGGGCAGGCUAGAGUUCGGUAGGGGAGACUGGAAUUCCUGGUGUAGCGGUGAAAUGCGCAGAUAUCAGGAGGAACACCGGUGGCGAAGGCGGGUCUCUGGGCCGAUACUGACGCUGAGGAGCGAAAGCGUGGGGAGCGAACAGG